rnacentral:lncRNA from 1 species
GGGGUGGAAUCCAAACAGAAUACUAGGGACUUGGGGAGUUGCCCUACAUCACUGAUGGGCACAGAAUCAUGGAGAGCUGAGGCCUCGUGUUAGGAGCCUCGUGUCUGGGGGCAUGGCAAACGCCUUCCGGUCCUCACAGGAACACCUGCUGUGUCUCUGGGGUUUAAGCUUAGCUCAACCAGAAAACAGGCUGCCUUUCACCAUCCCACAGGGCCAGACUGAGGGAGAUUCUGGUUUGUCACCAGCAUUGACAUCUGGGAGAUGGACCCCUCUGGAUCUAACAAGACUCGGUUAAGAACAGUGAUGAGCCCACUAUCUUCUGACAUCAAAGUAGCGAAUUCAAGACUCAGUGCUCCUUCAACCAUGUGACCAUAACACCAGUGCUCCUGACACCAUGUGCUCCUGACACCAAGACACAGCACUCCUGCUCCCUCCUCCUGCUGCAGCAAUGCUCCUGCACCAGUGCUCCUGUAACCUCCUGCUCCUGCCACCAUAUGAUCCCGACAACAGGGCUGCUCCUACCACGUGAUCCUGACUCCAAUGCUCCUGACACCAAUACUCCUGCCAACACAUGAUCCUGACAACAGUGUUCCUGCCACCAUGUGCUCCUGCCACCAUGUGCUCCUACCACCAGUAAUCCUUACACCAGUGUUCCUGCCACCAUGUGCUCCUGCCAUCAUGUGCUUCUGCCACCAUGUGCUCCUGCCAUCAUGUGCUCCUGCCACCAUGUGCUCCUGCCACCAUGUGCUCCUGCCCCCAUGUGCUCUGACACCAUGUGCUCUGACACCAUGUGCUCCUGACACCAGUGCUCCUGCCAUCAUGUGCUCCUUCCAUCAUGUGGCUCCUGCCAUCAUGUGCUCCUGCCAUCAUGUGCUCCUGCCAUCAUGUGCUCUGACACCAUGUGCUCCUGCCACCAGUGCUCCUUCUUCCAUGUGUUCCUGACACAGUGCUCCUUACCCCAGUGUUCCUGACUCCAGUGCUCCCGACAAGUGCUCCUUCUACCUCCUGCUCCUGCAACCAGUGCUCCUGAGACCUGUGUUCCUUCCACCAUGUGCUCCUGACACCCUGUGCUCCUGACACCAGUCCUCCUGCCACCAAAUGCUCCUGCAACAAUGUAGUCCUGCUACCAGUGCUGCUGCCAGCAGGUCUCCUGACAACAGUUAUCCAGACACCACUGCUCCUUCCACCAUGUGAUCCUGACACCAGUGUUCCUGACCUCAGUGCUCCUAACUCCAAUGCUCCUGACUCCAAUACUCCUGACACCAGUGUUCCCCCCACAGUGCUCCUGCCACAGUGCUCCUGCUAUGACCUGCUCCUGCUCCAUCCUCCUGCUGCUGCAAUGCUCCUGCACCAGUGCUCCUGUAACCUCCUGCUCCUGCCACCAUAUGAUCCUGACAACAGGGCUCCUUCCACCGUGUGAUCCUGACUCCAAUGCUCCUGACUCCAAUGCUCCACCCACAGUGCUCCUGCCACAUUGAUCCUGCCACAGUACACCUGCCACCAAUUUUCCUGCCACAGUGCUUCUGCCACCUGUGCUCCUUCUGCCUUGUGCUCCUGACAACAGUGAUUCUUCACCAUGUGUUCCUGACACCACUGCUCCUGAUACUGUGAGACCCCGACUUAGAGUGUUUCUCCUGGAAGGUAAAGCUCCUGGACGUCCCCCAAGCUUGUUUUUCCUGAUCUCUAAAAAUACAGCCAGAAAGAAGCUCUUUGUUCUCUAUAGCCAGCAAAAAGCCUUUUUGUUUCAGUGCCUUACAGCCAGAGAUGCAAUAAUUGUAGGAAGAUCUAUAAGGACAUGGAGUUAGAGAGGAGCUGCAGCUCACUCCCCCCACCCCUCGCCAGAAAGGAGCUAUAGCCAACUCUCCUCCCAUCUCCUCCCAACUCCUCAGCUAGCUGUUAAAAGCCCCCUACUGUUACCGCUCGGAGUUGAAUGCCCCUGCCCUGCACAGUGGAAGGAGUUUGUCCUCAGCUAGCUGAUAAUAAAGCCUCUUGCAGUUUG